AAGAAAUCUCAAGAUUUUUGGAUGUUUGGCAUAUGCACAUGUGCCAGAUCAACUGAGAAAGAAGUUGGAUGAUAACGGUGAUAAGUGUAUAUUCAUUGGUUAUAGUGAUGCUUCAAAGGCUUAUAAACUAUACAACCCUGAAACUAAAAAGGUUGUUAUAAGUCGUGAUGUCACUUUUGAUGAAUAUGGUGCUUGGGAUUGGUCAGCUAAAGAUGAAAGAUUGUAACCCUCUAUCCGUUGAGGAGGCUGCUACAAAAACUCAUUGGCUUAAGGCGAUGGAUGAGGAGAUCUGUGCCAUUGAAAAGAAUGGUACAUGGGAGUCAAUAGAUUUACCACCUGGAAAGAAGCCAAUUGGAGUAAAGUGGGUCUACAGAACGAAGUACAAAUCAAAUGGAGAAAUUGACUGUUUUAAAGCACGGUUGGUAGCAAAGGGCUACAAGUAGAAACCAGGGUUUGUGAAGAAAGGGGAAGAAAAUAAAGUGUACAGGUUGAGAAAAGCUUUAUAUGGCGGCUUAAAGCAGGCGCCUAGAGCAUGG